rnacentral:rRNA from 1 species
CAGUAGCCGCGGGAAAACGAAGGGGGCUAGCGUUGUUCGGAAUUACUGGGCGUAAAGCGCACGUAGGCGGACAUUUAAGUCAGGGGUGAAAUCCCGGGGCUCAACCCCGGAACUGCCUUUGAUACUGGGUGUCUAGAGUAUGGAAGAGGUGAGUGGAAUUCCGAGUGUAGAGGUGAAAUUCGUAGAUAUUCGGAGGAACACCAGUGGCGAAGGCGGCUCACUGGUCCAUUACUGACGCUGAGGUGCGAAAGCGUGGGGAGCAAACAGGAUUAGAUACCCGAGUAGUCCCUGUCUCUUAUAC